rnacentral:rRNA from 1 species
CCUACGGGGGGCUGCAGUGAGGAAUAUUGGUCAAUGGCCGUAAGGCUGAACCAGCCAAGUCGCGUGAAGGAAGAAGGAUCUAUGGUUUGUAAACUUCUUUUAUAGGGGAAUAAAGGUAUCCACGUGUGGAUAUUUGCAUGUACCCUAUGAAUAAGCAUCGGCUAACUCCGUGCCAGCAGCCGCGGUAAUACGGAGGAUCCGAGCGUUAUCCGGAUUUAUUGGGUUUAAAGGGAGCGUAGGUGGAUUGUUAAGUCAGUUGUGAAAGUUUGCGGCUCAACCGUAAAAUUGCAGUUGAAACUGGCAGUCUUGAGUACAGUAGAGGUGGGCGGAAUUCGUGGUGUAGCGGUGAAAUGCUUAGAUAUCACGAAGAACUCCGAUUGCGAAGGCAGCAUACCGGCGCCCGACUGACGCUGAGGCACGAAAGCGUGGGGAUCGAACAGGAUUAGAUACCCUGGUAGUC